GUGUCUUAGAGAGCUCAGCCCCACAGCAGUGAGAUGGAGUGGUGACUCCGGCUGACCCUGGGAACCACCACGCUGCAUCUGUUCCAGGAAGCAUUUCAGCCCAUUAAGAGGGCUGGCACACCUUGACAUCCCAGAUGUCCAUAAAACUGUUAAGGCUAGUAUCUGCCCUCUGGAUACCACCUUGACUUCCAGUGCUGCAGCCUCCAUGUUCCUCCUGUGGAGAUAGUAGACUUGACUGUCACUGUGAAGAUACCAUAGGCUGUUAACUCACAUGCAGUAAAGAUAACCUAACCAGGUGAGGAUGCCUUACUGCCUGGACAAUAACUGACUUAAAAUGUAUUUUAAAUAUACCUAAUGCCUAUUAAUUUGUGAAGAUGUACAAGAAUAUAAUACAACUAAACAACUUCAGGAAGAGUGCCUUCAUUACUAAAAGAGGAGAGAAGAUACAGCCUGAGUUGAGGAUCUGGCUUUCCUAGUAAGAAGAUGCACUGGAACAUAUGAGACCUAUGUCUGACUGGCUUUUCCAGCCAGCUCCACUGGACUGAGGACUGGAAGUGCAAUGACUGUGUGGAUUCCUGAGAGCUCCAGGGAAAUGAAUCCUACAUAGAGGAUGGUAACCCUGUGAUACAAAUGAAACCAACACAUAUUUUCACAUACAUUUUUGCUUCCACUGAAAUUGUUUCAACUGUGGAAGCAUCAGCAAGGAAUUAUAUGACCUUAGUUCCCCUGAGGUUGGAACAGUAAGGGGAAAUCAAUGCAAGACCUUUUAUAAUGGUUGGAGUUGAUGAUCUUAAAGGUCUUUUCCAACCUAAAUGAUUCUAUGAUUCUAUAAAAUCACACCAGCAGAGCCAUGGUCAGGAGAUAACAAAGGAAAAACACACCAAAGUCCCUGUUCUUUGGCACUUACAAACUUAAUUAAAGGGUAACGUAAUCAAGCUGGUGAUUAAUCAUAAACUUUUUAUCAAUGGAGAAUGAUAGAUUUUCCUGCCAAAGCCUCUAGCUCACGUUUUGCUAUCACUCUGGCUUGAGCAAGUGCUUGCACUCAAUCCUUCCACACUUGCCCAACAUGUGUCUGAAACAGAUUCGUGGGAGCCUGUGGAAUUAUACCAGGAUAAAAUCAGUCCCGGGACAUAAUCACAAGGUAUUAGGAUCCUUCCUCAAACUCCUGAUACCUUCAGAGAGUCAAAUAAAUGGAUCUGAAUGCAUAUUCCUAUUGGGUGAUAAGAAAUUUUUAUGGCACAAGUAGUGCAUUGCUUUGUAGAUAAACUGCAUGUUGCUUAAGGGCAUUACAUUUAUAAUCCCUCAGGCAAGGGUGUGCAUUAUCCUCGGUUUCAACAGUACAGGGUGGCAAGAAAGACAUCUGGAGGGAAAGCCAUACCUCAUCCUGCUGGAUAAUGCUGUUACUAAAACGGGAGGGAAAUGGGGGGGUACUAGUUUGCCACAGCUAGGAGGGAUAAAAAGGCUAAGAGUUUACAUACUCGGAUUCCUCUGAAAGGAAACUAACAGCCUGGGAACAGAAUUCCUACAGGAUUCCUCACACCACUGUAACAAACCCACCACAAAGCUAAGACA